CCAGGAGUUCUAAGCAGAGUUCUGUGAGAACACAGCUGCUGAUUGGGGCCUUCAGGGCCGAGGUGUUGCAGCCUUUGACCACUGGAACUGUUGUGGGGUGUGUGAUGCGGGGGCUGGAAGAAGAAGGAGAUGAGAAUUACAGGAGUGGCUGCCUUCAUUGGAUUUUGGCGUAUGCUUCUUCUGCAAUGAAUGCAAGUGUUGGAAAGAAAAAAAAAAAAAGGUAGCCAAUCUGCAAGGAGUUACAGAUUUGCAACAAGAAAAUACAAAAAAAAACACAUGAUGCAAAAAGGAGCUUUCAGCGUGAGACCCAAAAACUUAAAAACAAUUAUUCUGAAUUACUGAAACUUCAAUCAAGCCCAAAUUUAAUUCUAGACCUUAUAAUGGACCAGAAGAAACCCAGAUCAGAGCACAGCCAAGAAUUUAAGAAAG